AUAUUUACAUCUACAACAAUUAGGACAAUGAGAAAAAAGAUGUGAUCAUGAAAAAAACUGUAAUGUUAAUAUAAAAAUUGCUAUGUGACAUUCUCCCAUCUUCAGAUCCUUCCAAGGACUGCCAGAGUGGAUAUGAAUUAGACUGCAGCCUAAAACACACUCUCUCCCCACCUGCCACAGGCAAGGACUUGAAGGAAGACACAUGUCCAGUCUAGAAACACAGUCCUUACAGGAGUACUAGGAGAGAAUACCCUGCUUAUUGCCUCACCUCUCCUAAUCUACCUUCUCACAGUGGACGUCGACUUUCAUUACAGAGUAUUAUUGGUAUUAUUGCCCAAUGUCUGAUGGGGCUGAUUGCAGUAAUGUUUUUACUGGGUUUCCUGUGGCACAGCCGUCGUAGCAGGUGAAGUGUCUUACACCCUUCCACCUACUCUUCCAUUCCCUCCAUGCUUGGGAAAGGGAAGAGGCUUUCCUCACUUUGUGUCUGAACUCCAUCUUCUCUCUGCUAUAUGUCUGCUGUGUUGCUCAUAUCACUGCCUUCCUAUGUCCUGUACACCACUGUCUGUCGGUCAUGGUCACUCCUUUCCUUGUGAAAUUUGGAGAUAAAUUGACUUCAUCUUUCACCAGGGAGCCACAAAUUGAGAACAAUAUUAAACAAGAGGACAAUGAGCCAACCAACCUCAAUGAAACCUCAAAAGCAGCCUCAAAUGUGAAACCUCAAAAGGAAAAGAAGCCAAAAGACAAGAAGUAAGAGCAUGCUCAGUGAGGACAACUGAACCUGUCCACCCACAGUAAAUAAAGGCACUGACCCUCGGGAAUCAAAGGUCCCACCACCUGCCAGUCCUUCCAUGGCAUCCUGGACACCAGCCACUGUCUCCUGUCUGACUUACAGAGCAGAUCUUCUCUUCCCAGCCUCUGGCUGGCAUUUUCUUUAGGCUACCAAGUAGCUCCCAAAUAAAGACAUAGUGACUUAUUAUUAACUAUGAAUGCUCAGCCUUAGCUUAGGCUUGUCCAACCAGCUCCUUUAGCUUAAUUUAAACUGUUUCUAUUUAUCUCUGUUUUGCCUCAGGACUUUAACCUUUCUUUCAUUCUGUAUAUCCUACUUUCCUGCUUCCUCCCCAUCUGUCUGUCUAACCCCAGAUGUCUC